UACGUAGGGGGCAAGCGUUGUCCGGAAUGAUUGGGCGUAAAGGGCGCGUAGGCGGCCUUGUAAGUCCGAUGUGAAAUUCCUGCUUUUAAGGUAGGAAUUGCAUUGGAAACUGCGGGGCUUGAGUGCAGGAGAGGUAAGCGGAAUUCCCGGUGUAGCGGUGAAAUGCGUAGAGAUCGGGAGGAACACCAGUGGCGAAGGCGGCUUACUGGACUGUAACUGACGCUGAGGCGCGAAAGUGUGGGGAGCAAACAGG
rnacentral:rRNA from 1 species